GCCCCUAGCAACACACAAGUAUUAGGGGUAAUGCCUGCCCAGUGACACUGUUAAACGGCCGCGGUAUCCUAACCGUGCAAAGGUAGCGUAAUCACUUGUCUUUUAAAUAAAGACUAGAAUGAAUGGCCAAACGAGGUUCCACCUGUCUCUUACAAAUAAUCAGUGAAAUUGAUCUUCCUGUGCAAAAGCAGGAAUAGUAUUAUAAGACGAGAAGACCCUGUGGAACUUUAAAUACAAAUCAACUAUUAUUAACACCAACCUACGGGCCCAAUAACAAACUUAGCAUCUGAUUUAUAUUUUCGGUUGGGGCGACCUCGGAGUAAAAUAAAACCCCCGAAAAAUAGAGCUCUAUCUAAACCAAGACCCACAGUCCAAAGUGCUCCCAGCAAAACGAUCCAAUAUACUUGAUCAACGAACCAAGCUACCCCAGGGAUAACAGCGCAAUCCCAUCCUAGAGUCCCCAUCGACGAUGGGGUUUACGACCUCGAUGUUGGAUCAGGACAUCCUGAUGGUGCAACCGCUAUCAAGGGUUCGUUUGUUCAACGAUUAACAGUCCUACGUGA
rnacentral:rRNA from 1 species